UACGUAGGUGGCAAGCGUUGUCCGGAUUUACUGGGCGUAAAGAGCGCGCAGGCGGUUGUGCAAGUCGCGUGUGAAAGCCCCCGGCUCAACUGGGGAGGGUCACGCGAUACUGUUCGACUUGAAGGCAGGAGAGGGAAGUGGAAUUCCCGGUGUAGUGGUGAAAUGCGUAGAUAUCGGGAGGAACACCAGUGGCGAAGGCGGGUUGCUGGGCUGAUACUGACGCUGAUGCGCGAAAGCCAGGGGAGCGAACGGG
rnacentral:rRNA from 1 species